rnacentral:rRNA from 1 species
UACGUAGGGAGCAAGCGUUGUCCGGAUUUAUUGGGCGUAAAGAGCUCGUAGGCGGCUUAGAAAGUCAGGUGUGAAACCUCCAGGCUCAACCUGGAGACGCCACUUGAUACUUCUAUGGCUUGAGUUCGGUAGGGGAACACGGAAUUCCUGGUGUAGCGGUGAAAUGACGCAGAGUAUCAGGAGGAACACCGAUGGCGAAGGCAAUCCCCUGGGCCUGCACUGACGCUCAUGCACGAAAGCGUGGGGAGCAAACAGG